UUAAGCGACUAAGCGUACACGGUGGAUGCCCUGGCAGUCAGAGGCGAUGAAGGACGUGCUAAUCUGCGAUAAGCGUCGGUAAGGUGAUAUGAACCGUUAUAACCGGCGAUUUCCGAAUGGGGAAACCCAGUGUGUUUCGACACACUAUCAUUAACUGAAUCCAUAGGUUAAUGAGGCGAACCGGGGGAACUGAAACAUCUAAGUACCCCGAGGAAAAGAAAUCAACCGAGAUUCCCCCAGUAGCGGCGAGCGAACGGGGAGCAGCCCAGAGCCUGAAUCAGUGUGUGUGUUAGUGGAAGCGUCUGGAAAGGCGCGCGAUACAGGGUGACAGCCCCGUACACAAAAAUGCACAUGCUGUGAGCUCGAUGAGUAGGGCGGGACACGUGGUAUCCUGUCUGAAUAUGGGGGGACCAUCCUCCAAGGCUAAAUACUCCUGACUGACCGAUAGUGAACCAGUACCGUGAGGGAAAGGCGAAAAGAACCCCGGCGAGGGGAGUGAAAAAGAACCUGAAACCGUGUACGUACAAGCAGUGGGAGCACGCUUCGGCGUGUGACUGCGUACCUUUUGUAUAAUGGGUCAGCGACUUAUAUUCUGUAGCAAGGUUAACCGAAUAGGGGAGCCGAAGGGAAACCGAGUCUUAACUGGGCGUUAAGUUGCAGGGUAUAGACCCGAAACCCGGUGAUCUAGCCAUGGGCAGGUUGAAGGUUGGGUAACACUAACUGGAGGACCGAACCGACUAAUGUUGAAAAAUUAGCGGAUGACUUGUGGCUGGGGGUGAAAGGCCAAUCAAACCGGGAGAUAGCUGGUUCUCCCCGAAAGCUAUUUAGGUAGCGCCUCGUGAAUUCAUCUCCGGGGGUAGAGCACUGUUUCGGCAAGGGGGUCAUCCCGACUUACCAACCCGAUGCAAACUGCGAAUACCGGAGAAUGUUAUCACGGGAGACACACGGCGGGUGCUAACGUCCGUCGUGAAGAGGGAAACAACCCAGACCGCCAGCUAAGGUCCCAAAGUCAUGGUUAAGUGGGAAACGAUGUGGGAAGGCCCAGACAGCCAGGAUGUUGGCUUAGAAGCAGCCAUCAUUUAAAGAAAGCGUAAUAGCUCACUGGUCGAGUCGGCCUGCGCGGAAGAUGUAACGGGGCUAAACCAUGCACCGAAGCUGCGGCAGCGACGCUGAUGCGUUGUUGGGUAGGGGAGCGUUCUGUAAGCCUGCGAAGGUGUGCUGUGAGGCAUGCUGGAGGUAUCAGAAGUGCGAAUGCUGACAUAAGUAACGAUAAAGCGGGUGAAAAGCCCGCUCGCCGGAAGACCAAGGGUUCCUGUCCAACGUUAAUCGGGGCAGGGUGAGUCGACCCCUAAGGCGAGGCCGAAAGGCGUAGUCGAUGGGAAACAGGUUAAUAUUCCUGUACUUGGUGUUACUGCGAAGGGGGGACGGAGAAGGCUAUGUUGGCCGGGCGACGGUUGUCCCGGUUUAAGCGUGUAGGCUGGUUUUCCAGGCAAAUCCGGAAAAUCAAGGCUGAGGCGUGAUGACGAGGCACUACGGUGCUGAAGCAACAAAUGCCCUGCUUCCAGGAAAAGCCUCUAAGCAUCAGGUAACAUCAAAUCGUACCCCAAACCGACACAGGUGGUCAGGUAGAGAAUACCAAGGCGCUUGAGAGAACUCGGGUGAAGGAACUAGGCAAAAUGGUGCCGUAACUUCGGGAGAAGGCACGCUGAUAUGUAGGUGAGGUCCCUCGCGGAUGGAGCUGAAAUCAGUCGAAGAUACCAGCUGGCUGCAACUGUUUAUUAAAAACACAGCACUGUGCAAACACGAAAGUGGACGUAUACGGUGUGACGCCUGCCCGGUGCCGGAAGGUUAAUUGAUGGGGUUAGCGGUAACGCGAAGCUCUUGAUCGAAGCCCCGGUAAACGGCGGCCGUAACUAUAACGGUCCUAAGGUAGCGAAAUUCCUUGUCGGGUAAGUUCCGACCUGCACGAAUGGCGUAAUGAUGGCCAGGCUGUCUCCACCCGAGACUCAGUGAAAUUGAACUCGCUGUGAAGAUGCAGUGUACCCGCGGCAAGACGGAAAGACCCCGUGAACCUUUACUAUAGCUUGACACUGAACAUUGAGCCUUGAUGUGUAGGAUAGGUGGGAGGCUUUGAAGUGUGGACGCCAGUCUGCAUGGAGCCGACCUUGAAAUACCACCCUUUAAUGUUUGAUGUUCUAACGUUGACCCGUAAUCCGGGUUGCGGACAGUGUCUGGUGGGUAGUUUGACUGGGGCGGUCUCCUCCUAAAGAGUAACGGAGGAGCACGAAGGUUGGCUAAUCCUGGUCGGACAUCAGGAGGUUAGUGCAAUGGCAUAAGCCAGCUUGACUGCGAGCGUGACGGCGCGAGCAGGUGCGAAAGCAGGUCAUAGUGAUCCGGUGGUUCUGAAUGGAAGGGCCAUCGCUCAACGGAUAAAAGGUACUCCGGGGAUAACAGGCUGAUACCGCCCAAGAGUUCAUAUCGACGGCGGUGUUUGGCACCUCGAUGUCGGCUCAUCACAUCCUGGGGCUGAAGUAGGUCCCAAGGGUAUGGCUGUUCGCCAUUUAAAGUGGUACGCGAGCUGGGUUUAGAACGUCGUGAGACAGUUCGGUCCCUAUCUGCCGUGGGCGCUGGAGAACUGAGGGGGGCUGCUCCUAGUACGAGAGGACCGGAGUGGACGCAUCACUGGUGUUCGGGUUGUCAUGCCAAUGGCACUGCCCGGUAGCUAAAUGCGGAAGAGAUAAGUGCUGAAAGCAUCUAAGCACGAAACUUGCCCCGAGAUGAGUUCUCCCUGACUCCUUGAGAGUCCUGAAGGAACGUUGAAGACGACGACGUUGAUAGGCCGGGUGUGUAAGCGCAGCGAUGCGUUGAGCUAACCGGUACUAAUGAACCGUGAGGCUUAACCUU
rnacentral:rRNA from 1 species